AGCACUUCUUUAUAGUCACUAGCUUGACUAUGGCAUCCCUUUCUGCACUACUUUAUAUGGCUCGAGACUUUUUUUAUUGACCUUGACUACUUCGGUAAGCCCAUUAUAAAUCUCGAUAACAUCAUAAGGAUGAAUCUUUACCACCUUAAAGGUUUUCCCCCAAUAUCGUUUAAGAUUCCAUGGCAAAAGAUGGAGUUGUGAAUAAGAAAAUACUACUCGAUGUCCAAUCACAAAAUCAAGAUGAUUGGAAAGUUUUGGUAGUUUUGUUUAAAAAGUUAACACCUGCUGUCACGACCCGAAACUCUCAUCGAGCCCGUGACAACUGCCACAUUGUCCCGAUCGACACUCAUUACCUAGAUUGUCAACCGGAACCCCGCAAGGCUUUAAUAUCAGUUUCUCUUUUCCCCGGUGAGCAACUGUUACCAAAUAUCAUGUUCUAAAAGAAUUUAAGCUAUUUCCAACUGAAAUCAAUAAAAAAAUGAUUUCUGUCUCACAGAGAUAUUUUGGUCAUUUUUCCUCAAAAGUUUCAAAACCAGUUAAAAAUGUAGUAUGCAAGUAUAAAACACAUAAUUCAUAAUCAAAAAUAAAUUUAAACGUCUAAAACUUUCAUUUAAAAUGAAAUUAUAACUAUUUGAAUAUAAUAAAGAUAUAGAAUAAAAUAUUUAAUUUUUUCAUAAAAUAAUAUUUUUAGAACACUGCGUAAAUAAUUUUUACAGGAAAAAAGUAAAAUAAAUUCAUAUAUAUUGUAAUAUAGAUAACCAAAGUAUAAAAUUAAAUUUGCAGUGACACGUGAGCCCACGAACGACUAAAAGUGUCAAAAGAAUUGAACCUACAUAUUUUGAGGAUGCCAAUCCAAUUGUAGUCCUCGAUGAAAUGAGCUAUUUACCGACUACCUUGAUGCUUGAAAUGGGUGGAAAGGAGGGUGGUGAGAUUAUAAAAUCUCAGUGAGUAAACAAAUAUCAUUUAAAAUAUCUAAAAGCGAGUAAAAUGAGACUAUUAAAAUAUUUCAUCAAACUGUAAUUUAUCAUUUUUCAACUUAUUUCAACAAAAUGAAAUCAAUUUAUUUAAAUCAAGUAAUCAAUAUGGCUUAUGAAUUUAUUAAAAAGCUUGGCUCAUGGCAAAAAUUAUUAUCAUACUCAGUUAUCUGAGAUACCUUAGCCGAGGGCUAUCCCAACUGAGUCCGCGAAGGCUAUUAGAAAGUCAUGUACGUAUAAGACAUGUUUUUAUUUUGAAAAUAUAGUCGUUCCUUGGGGAUGGCCUAGCUCACCUUCACGUGGUGGUUUGGCGUGAAGUGAACUCUAAAAUCAUACAUCGGGAGUUACCCUACUCACCUCUCCAACCGAGGUAAAAUAUAACGGGUUUACCGUGCCCCUCUAAUAGGCUAGUCCACGGAAACCCGCCUACUGUAGUAAGCUAAACCCACCAUAUAAUAAAAUCUUGACAGCAUGACAGGGCUAAUAUAUUACUACCCAGCCUGCAAGGGUAAAAUAAAAUAAUUCAUAUAAUUCAUAAAAUACAAUCCAACCAGUCAUGCCAACACAAUAACAUAAGCCAUCAAUUCAAUCUUAAAUUUACAACAUAUCAAUGGUCUCCAAUUACUUUAUUUUCAAAAUCAUCAUUCAGUUUCCAAAACAAUUUAUAAAAUCUUUUUAUUUAAACUCAUUUUUGUUUAUAAAACCUAAAAUUUGCCAUUUAACUCAUUUUCAUAAAAUUUCACUAAAACCGAAUUAAAACAUACUUUAGAUAAUUAAAAUGAUAAUAAGGUUACUCACUAUUUUGUGAGUCGAAUUUCUAAAGUACUCCGAUUAUCGAUCCUCGGGUACAAUUUUCUUGCCUUUGUCAGAGGACUCACCACCUUGACAUAGUACAAAAUCGAGAAACUUAUUACAUUGGUACUAAAUCAAAAUUAAACUAAUUUAGAGUAUUAAUGCAUGAUAUGGAAUGCAAAAUCUCCGAUUAAUCGCUUAAAUGUGAUAUUCAACCUAAGUCACACUAUACUCGAUCUAAUCGGCUAAAAUCUUCAAUUUAACUCCAAAUCAAUUCUUCUCACUUUCUACACUCCAAUUAUACCUAAAUUACCUCAGUGACUGUGAAUGAGAUUCAAUUUAUCAGUCUCGAGUCAAUAAUCACACAUGUCUAUACGUUGAGCAAAAAUUCAUAUUUUCACACCAAAAUUUUCCAUUUAAUUCUAGCCUCACCAAACAUCAAAUAUCACCAAAAUAUUAUGAAAUAUCAUCAAUUUCAGCCACAAUAUCCUCCCUAUAAAAUUUGGCCAUUGAUGGGUGAUGGGGAAAAUGAAUUCUUUUCUUG
rnacentral:lncRNA from 1 species